GCCCACGGGGCUGUGGGUCCCCGGACCCACCUCCGGGCAGGGUCCCCAACCCAGAGCUUCACAAAAAUAUUCUUCAGAUGUUGAAAGAAGGAAGGACCCUUCUGCACAGCUCUUUGGUAGCAGGGUGGGGGGCGCAGCGUUCCCUGCGCUGCUGGAGGACUGGACAGCCUGGAGGGGACAUUAAAACACUCUUUUUAGUGGCACCCACCGUGUCAACCCCUGGGCAAAACCCUUCAUUCUCCCACAGCCCUUGUGUUUAAGGACAGGUUCAGCAAACACCUGGAGAACACCACCGGGCUGACCCUGCCGUCAGGGUCCUUCCAGCCUCCCUGCGCGACGCAGGCUUCGGUCUAAACCCUUGCAGCGGCAGAGGGAGCUCUCAGGCUUGUCUUUUA